UACGUAGGUGGCAAGCGUUGUCCGGAUUUACUGGGCGUAAAGAGCGCGCAGGCGGUCGUUCAAGUCGCGUGUGAAAGCCCCCGGCUCAACUGGGGAGGGUCACGCGAUACUGAUCGACUCGAAGGCAGGAGAGGGUAGUGGAAUUCCUGGUGUAGCGGUGAAAUGCGUAGAGAUCAGGAAGAACAUCGGUGGCGAAGGCGCUCUGCUGGACCAUAACUGACACUCAGGGACGAAAGCUAGGGGAGCGAAUGGG
rnacentral:rRNA from 1 species